GAAAUGUCAAUAGAUAGAAGUAUUUAUAUGAUGGUUAAGACAUGCACGCCUAUCACUUAUCACUGAACUUUUUUCGGAAAUUUUGAAUGAAACAGCUGAGUGGGAGGAGGAGAGAAAAGAAAUGAGUCACAGAAAC
ensembl:ncRNA B0496.13 ncRNA